CUGAAGUGGCAAUGAACCUAUCUUUAUUUGUCCACGUGUAAUAAGCUUUUUUCUUUUAUUUUUCUUUUCCUUUUAUUAGUUUUCAUAUGUAAUUUAACGAUUGUACAACCAUAUUCUCUCGUUUGAAAUUCUUAAGCAUAUUUCAUCAUUUUAUUCAAGGAUCAUUUCCUCAAGAGUUCUCUUCCCUCAAAAUCUCAAAUCAAAGCUCUAGAUUUGUCAUUCAAUAACUUCAACCUUAUCUCGUUGCCGUUACUUUCCAACGAAUCCUGGUUAGCAAAAAAUGCCAUCAUUGUCAUUGGAGGCUUCUAAUAGCUUAAAGCAGAUGAUCAAAGCUAAACUUAUCUGGUUUUUCCUAGUCAAUGCUAAAAAAACAGAAUCAUAUAUGUGAGAGCUCAAUUAGUACCUAACUCUCCAUUGUAAUCAAGAAUCUCAAGUGCAAAAUCAAAGUAACAGGGGCUCAAAAGUCUCACAACCGAUAGUAACACAAUCAUAUGUGGGAGUAAACGCACGCAGGGUGUUUGUAAUUAUGUCUGAGAGAACACCAUUUGAAAAAAUCAAUUUUGUUGGAGGCGUAAAGAGUUCUGGCGCAGAAUUUGAAUGAUUAAAGGCUCUGACAGAGGAAUUGAAUUUGGGUCUAGAUUUUAUUGGCGGUUGAAGCAUUAAGGAAUCUCAUUAACGUCGACGAUAGAGACUAGAUGCAGCGGCGAAAUUGGGAAGGAGGAGAAGACGUCACAACUUGCAAGGAGGAGCCAACUCGUGACUCAACUGCGAUUCCUACUGUUGCAGAAGAACUGGUAAGACAAGGAUGACGAUGUUGUCGUGGUUGUUGUUGCUUCAAUGGCAACAGGGACUGGUUCAACAAAAAUGAGCCAAUUGAUUCGAUUUUAUUUUAUUUUUUAAGUGGAUUUGAUUUAGCUUGAAAGAGUACUGCUUAUUUAUGAGAAGGAAAGGGAAGAACAAAAGAACAAGAAAAGAAGGAAGGAAAGAAAAAGAACAAGGAAUAAGGGAAGGGAAGAAGGAAAGAAAGAAAAAGAGAAUUGAAGGUGAUGUGUAUUGAGUCCCAUAUUAUUUUUGCCAACUCGGUUGCACUCGGCCAAGUGUAUUGCCUCUCAGGGGAUAAUAGCUGAUUAAUCAUUAAUGACAUCUUUCGCAAGAUAAUAUUAAUUUAUCACGUGAGACGUGGGCAUCUUGAAAAACAGAAAAAUCCAAGAAUGGGGAAGUACACGUGGCGAAAAUCUGGUGGUAUUAGGUCACCGUCUGCAUGGAAGAAAACAUACGUAGGUUCCGGUGAUGGGGGCCUUAUCGGAGUGACAUAGUGCCACGUGUUCUCGAUCCACAGUGUUUUUUUUUUUUUGAUUGAUACCCUACGACGCGUGUGUAUUGUGUGACUGGUUCUCCACCACUACCUAAUUUUUGUGGGGUCUCUGAUAGAUUGUCCUUUUGGCCGACACUUCUCACCAAAAUGGAAAAGUUUAUUUUAUAUAUAAAUAUAACCCCUUUUUGCACGCCA